rnacentral:rRNA from 1 species
UACAGAGGCCUCGAGCGUUAGGCGGAAUCACUGGGCUUAAAGCGUGUGUAGGCGGACUUCUAAGUGCCUUGUGAAAUCCCACGGCUCACCCGUGGAACGGCUGGGCAUACUGGGAGUCUUGAGCCACCUAGGGGCUACCGGAACAAAUGGUGGAGCGGUGAAAUGCGUAGAUAUCAUUUGGAACGCCAACGGAGAAAUCAGGUAGCUGGGGGUGUGCUGACGCUGAGACACGAAAGCCAGGGGAGCGAACGGG